rnacentral:rRNA from 1 species
GAGACCCACGCCAACAGUUGCCAGCUCGUCCUCCGGGAUGGUGGGGACACUGUUGGGACCGCCUCUGCUAAAGAGGAGGAAGGAAUGGGCAACGGUAGGUCAGCAUGCCCCGAAUUAACUGGGCUACACGCGGGCUACAAUGGGUGGGACAAUGGGUAUCGACACCGAGAGGUGAAGGCAAUCUCCUAAACCCAUCCGUAGUUCGGAUUGUGGGUUGCAACUCACCCACAUGAAGCUGGAAUCUGUAGUGAUCGUGUCUCAAAAUGGCACGGUGAAUAU